AACCACCGCGUUUUAUCUUUGCAAGAAUAUUAUUCAUUUUCAAUAAUAUAGUCUGUUCAGUUAUAGGUCAUUGUAAGUUUUAUAUGUUAUUGAUUACAACAAAGUAUUUCUAUAUUUUGUAAUUAAUUAAUUGCAGGCGUAAUCUAUUUAAGAAAACAUAACACGUUUUUACGUAUUGCACGAUCUCUUCUUCGUCAAAUGUCGAUAAUAAUAAGCGGUAUUAUCGGUAUUGCUAUUAUAGUUAAUCUUCUUGUUUGUUGUAUGUUAUUAAUAUGUAGCUUUUUCCAGUGUUAACCUUCUGUUGUAGUUGUUCUCAGAUUGUAAUAUUCGUAUUUUGUCAAAGUUUGGUAUGUGAUUGCUACGUUUGCAAGUGUUUUUUCUCCAUAAUGUAAUGUCUGAUUUAUGUCCCAGUAAUCAUUUAUUUUUUUUUAUUUUUUCAUGUUUUGUUCCAUCACAUCCAAUGCUAUAUAUUACAUUGAGUGAGUUAUCGGAAUUUUACUUUUAAUGUUAAUAAUAAACAUUUUAAUAUAUUGUUGUGUUCCUAUCUGCAAUUUAUGUUUGUUGUGUAAAUCAGAGUUUUGGAAUCUUCCAUAUAUUCCAGGAAAAUAAAUCAUUUAUUUGUAAUUUUUCUUAGAUAUCUCCCUCGUUUUUGGUAUUUUAUAUUUGUUUUUUAGUACCAUUUAGUACAGUUCUUACAUAUAGUACACAUUUCUAAAACCACCUCCUUAUAUCAACCCUAGUUUUCCAUCCUAAUUUUUAUACCAAAUGUUCCUCCCAAAUUUUAGAAUUCUGCCUGUAUCUGUUCGACCAGCACAAUCAAAUGAAUUUUGAAAAACUUUUGAUACAAUUAAGGUAAAAAUAGUAUCCCAUAUCCGUCUCCUACCUCUUCACCAAUUUUCGAACAAAUCGGCAUUGGAUGCACAGCAUAGAAAAGCAGUUGCAGAUAUGAUUCAUGAAUUGAGUGAUAAAGCACAGUUCAUUACAACCACGUUUCGACCGGAGCUGUUGGAAAAUGCCCACAAGUUCUAUGGCGUUCGUUUUAGGAAUAAAGUAAGUCACAUUGAUUGUGUUACACGGGAGCAAGCAAAAGACUUUGUGGAAGAUGAUAAUACACAUGCGUAAAAUAUUAUUGUAAAUGAUAAAGAUAUUUGUCAUAUUUACACUCAAAAACGUUAUAAAACCUGUUUAUGUAAUAAUGUAAUUUUUGGCCCAGCUCUUAAUAAAAAAAAUUAUGUAAAGAAA